CACUUCGGAUAAGCUCUUCUUUUAUUAACAAGGCAAACAGACUGCAGGAAUCCUAAAGGGUUUUGUUUGCCCACAAGUAGUACUGAUGCAAAGCACAACUGAAAUAUAAUCAAUUAAUAGCUUUCAUGUCGUUUUGCUGAGUGUAAAACAGCAAAGCAUCACGGCUUGCAUUGGCACAAGCUGCUCAGAUCUAAAGGCAAGUAAAUAUUUAGCCAAUAAUUUUGAUUUUGAGCAACAAUAUGCAUCUUUAUUCCUUAUUGGCUGAUUUGUGUUCUUAACAGAAGGAAUAAGGAAUGCUGGGGUAUCAGUCUUCAACUCCGCAUCUUCUGCAGUGGGACAUUGUCAUCUUUGCAGAAAUGCAGGAAAAAGUCUUUGGCAUUCUGUACUCUGCAGCUACCUCAUCCAGAGCUGCCUAUGCUCAUGUAUUCCAGCAGUCUUUUCUGCUGUAAUUAGGACCUGCCACAAAUACAGCUUGUGGACAAGGACUCCUCAUCUAUUUUUCUGUCCCCUCAGAAGAAACCCACACAGUUUGUUAUAGAUCAGUGUAUUUAUAGGCUUUGCUCCAUGGCAAACAGGCUAAUUUUUCACCUUUUCCUUAUCUGUAUGUACUUGCAAAGACCGUGUUUCAUGUUAUUUGAUGGAGAGAUGUGAAAACAAGAGGCAGCUGGAGGUCAGACAACAGCAGGCAGGUAACCAUAGACUUAGCUUGCUGUGGGACCUCUGCCAAUGCAUUUAACACUUCUGAUCCUGCUUCCCCCAGAUGUUGUGAGAAGAUAACACAGAAGAUAACGCAGGAGCAGGACUGGAGCCCCGAGAGGGGAUCAGCUUUGAGCACAGUGUGACACCCAAGCAGUGGAGGAGCAUGUCUCACCGAGUGAUGGUGGUGGUGGUCAGUCCAGGCUCAUGGCAGGGCGAGGCACACUGAUGUUUUGCAUCUGGAAUCCAAACCAGACCCAUUUGGAAGGCACGACAGCCAAGUACAAGUCUAGAGUUUGUCCAGAGGUGUGCAUGCAGCCACAGAGCCAUGGUCCCAUGGGAUCACAGAAAUACGGUGGGACAGCUGACCCAACUGAAAGGCUGCCGGCGUGGACAUGGACUCUUCAGAAGGAAUGGUCUGAGAAGGAGAGAGAUGGGAGGUCAUCUGCAUGAACGCACAGCAGGAGUACAAGAUGAGCAGGCAGAAGUUUUCCUUGGAGAGCAUAAGCACAAGCCUUGGCUGGGCUGCUGGUGGCAGAGAGACAGUUGGUCUCCAACCCAAGAUCACACAAAUUCAGUACCUUGGGGGAAGAAAACAGAACUCUCACUGAAAUGUUCAUGAGAAAAUACUCCGUUCACAAAUUAUUAAUGACACUGAAGAAGUUCUAGUCACCUUGUCCAAUGGGCUAAAGUAACCAAGAUGAAAUGAGCAUGGAGGUCAGUAUUUCUUCAGAGGCAAAUCCUUGCUUUCCUCUGUCCCCAAGGACAGCUGGAGGGUAUGACAGCAGGCAGGACAGGAGCCUGCAGUGAUAUUCCCAUCCUAUUCAAAACUCUAGGGAUAAACAGCAGAGCUUUGGCUCUGAGCCCUUCAUUCCAGCAAUCAAACCCACGCUGGCAAUAAAUCAAGUGGCAAACCAGUGUGUCUAUAGAUCCUGCCAAGUCACUUUAAACCGCAGUUGCUGGGUCUUUUCUGCGACAUUUUGAUGUAUGUCUUUGGCCCAUUAGAAAAAUAACUUCAUUUCCAACCACAGCUUAUGUUGUGAGACAAUUCUCCCCUUCAUUGAAGAUCCCUCUAGAUAGCCAGACUGCAAAGCACGAUACUUGGCUCGGGUUAGAGGUAAACGAGCUGGCGUUGUGCAAAAGCCCAUUUCUAAAGGACCCGGCAAGACAGAUCAACUCUGAGGGCUGACAGCAGCUAUGAGGGCAAUGAAUGGAGACAGCAAAUGCAGCACAAAACACGAGGCAUUCCCUCCAUCCCAUCUGCAGGCAGUAAGGGGCAGCAGACACUGGUCAAGUUUUACCCUGCAAUUACACUGAUCAUCUUUUCAGGUUUUAAGGAUUUUGUUGGAUUUUUUUUUUUUUUUGUUUGUUUGCUUGUUUGCUUUUUGCUGUUGUUUUUUUUGGAUGUUUUUGGGCAGUGUGUCUUCCUACUUCGAACUGCAGGAACCUCUCACAGACUGACCACUCCAAUAUUGCCAGCAGCUGUUCUGGUUCUGUGGUUCCCCAUCAUCCCAACUGGAGCAGAGUCUAAGUUCAGGGAGGAACAAAAUCAUCUCUGAGCUGAACCAGCCCUCAGGCUGUGUGGUGCCCGUUCACACAGGGACUACACUUACAUCCCGCUCAGUCACAUGCCAUAAAUCUGUGUAGAUGAAACCAAGGUGGGAUGCACAUCCAGCAAGAUGUCAGCAUCACUGAGUCCAGGACCCUGCCACUAUGAGCAGUGACAUUGCAGAGAUAGAGGUAAGAGUAGCACCAAGAAAUUCAGAAGCAAAACUGAAUUCAGAGGUAAAAAGAAGAGCAAUAAAUAAUCAGAAUGUGUCCCACUGUGGCUGGGAGCCCUUCAGUGACAUGCAAUUUCUCCCUUUCCCUCCUGGCCUCUCCAGUUUAGCCUUGGGAUGAGCUGCUUAGCAUUCUUCAAGAACAGGACAAGAAAAAGAAUCAUUUGGCUGAAUAAUGGCCAUUAGAAGAACAUGGAAGAUUUUAUGAAAAACUACUGGCUUUUUUAAAUGCAUUUCUCCUUUUUUUGAUUUUUCAGUGACGUCCUCUAUCAGUCUUUUUUACUACAGAGUGCAGUGUAAACUAGGCACUUGUUUCUCUGCCAGAGUUUUUCUUUUAAGAUACUUCUAAAAUCAAAACACUAUCAAAAUAAUUCAUCCACAGAAUAUUUACUUUCAAGAAGAUGAGGUGUGCAUUUUUUCUGAAGGCAGACGCAUGGAGAACAGUUAUUCAGCUCUGAAUAUUUCAGUGUGCAGAGCAACAAGACAGACUGCUCUGUAGCAUGCCCCAUCCAAGCUCUGCCCAGACACUUAUUUUCCUGCACCAAGUGCUGAGGUAUCCCACGUUCUCUCCUCUCACCAGCCAGAUUCCUUGUUCUUACUCUGCUUAUGAAUAUCUAAUGCUGCUGGUGCAGGAGCAGCAGCUUGAUUACAGAUUUCCAAGCCACGUGCAUUGCUCCCCAUCAGCUCACCCAAGAGCUCUGGGCAAAGCACAGUGUACAGGAUUUCCAGACAACACAGAGAAGUGAAAGGCACCAGCUAGUUGCACCACAAAAGGCUUCUUUGUGCUCAUCUCAUCGAAUCUUUAACAGCUAAUAUUUUAGGAGCGAUAUCUGAGAAGUUUUUUGAAGAACGGUUUAUAUGAUGGUUCUGUUAACAGCAGCAAGAACAUGCACAGGGAAGUUUAUUGAUUCUCGUUAUUGAGCUAAGUUUGCUUCCUAGAAUUCAGAGUCAGAGGUGGGCUGUGACUGCAAUACUGAAUUACCAUGAGCUGCCCAUACGUUGGAACCAUCCAGAGGUGCAGCUGCCCUGAGCAGACUGCCUAAUCACAGCAGGCUGCAGCUCUAACCUGCUCACAAGGAAGAGAAAUGGAAGCUAGAGGAAUGGAAGAUGGGAGGAUUACAGAAGUUUUCCUUGGUCCUCCCUGUCCAUGGGCAAUUUUCUGCUGCUUAAUGUGUUUGAUGGGUAGAUCAGCAGUGGAUCAUGAGACAAGGGAUAUCUGAAACAUGGAGGGCCAGAGCAAGAUGUUUUGGCACUGGGUUGGGUUGUGUCAUAAUCCAGUGCUUAUUCCUUUCCCACCUCAAUUCCUUCCUGUAAAAUUGGAUCCGAUUGAAAUUCUUGAUGUCUAGCUUCUAUCCAGCAAUUACACGUUAAUUUUGCUGGUUAUGCUGUGCUCCAGCAGACAUGGAUUGCCCAUGCAUUGCAUUACCUUCUUCUAGAAAUAGUGCUCAGGGCAGCACUCAGCCUGCUUAGAGCUCCCCGAGCCAAAGCUGGAUGUUGAGGUGGAGUGUGCAGUGGCAGAGACAAGGAGAAAAAUGGUGUGCACAGAAAGAAAGAGGAAGAUCCAUCAGGACCUCAGAGCUGGGUGAAGAAUAAGUGCCAGAGGGCAGGGGAGAAGGGCAGCCAGCCCUCAGUCUGACACCACACACAGACACCACACACCUCUUCAUCCUCACUCAUUCAUAAAAUAAAUACAGCCAACUACCUACUGCUCCCUCAUUGCACAGGCCACCCUACAGAUUACCACAACCUGAAGUCUGGGAACAUCUGUUCUAGACCCCUCAUCCAACCAGCACAUCACAGCACAUGGUUAUGGGUUGAUAUCACACAGCAGGAACCAGCCGUGUAGAACCACCUACAAACACACAAGCAUCCCCACCUGAUACAUACCUUAGAGCCACAUUCCACCCAAAACUCCCAGCUUCUGCCCUCUCACAGAGGAGAGUUACAAACACCCCAGUGUGCAGGAAGAGCAGAACCAAUCCCAGUAUCCCCUUCCUGCUGGCUUCCGACCCAUCAGCACAAGCUCCACUGCUCUGCCCAGCCCCGGGCUGCACCAUGCUCUGCUCCAUGCUGCACCUGAUCAGAAGCAGCUUGCACCUCACCUUGCCC